CACCUACGGGUGGCAGCAGUGAGGAAUCUUCCACAAUGGGGGCAACCCUGAUGGAGCAACGCCGCGUGCAGGAUGAAGGCCUUCGGGUUGUAAACUGCUUUUAUAAGUGAGGAAUAUGACGGUAACUUAUGAAUAAGGAUCGGCUAACUACGUGCCAGCAGCCGCGGUCAUACGUAGGAUCCGAGCGUUAUCCGGAGUGACUGGGCGUAAAGAGUUGCGUAGGUGGUUUAUCAAGUGAAUAGUGAAAUCUGGUGGCUCAACCAUACAGGCUAUUAUUCAAACUGAUAAACUCGAGAAUGGUAGAGGUAACUGGAAUUUCUUGUGUAGGAGUGAAAUCCGUAGAUAUAAGAAGGAACACCAAUGGCGUAGGCAGGUUACUGGACCAUUUCUGACACUAAGGCACGAAAGCGUGGGGAGCGAACGGGAUUAGAUACCCCGGUAGUCCACGCCGUAAACGAUGGAUACUAGCUGUUGGAGGUAUCGACCCCUUCAGUAGCGAAGCUAACGCGUUAAGUAUCCCGCCUGUGGAGUACGGCCGCAAGGCUAAAACAUAAAGGAAUUGACGGGGACCCGCACAAGCGGUGGAUCGUGUUCUUUAAUUCGAUGCUAAACGGAGAACCUUACCAGGGUUUGACAUCCUUGGAAUCUCUGGGA
rnacentral:rRNA from 1 species